rnacentral:tRNA from 1 species
GGCGAGAUAGCUCAGGUGGUUAGAGCGUCGGAUUCAUAACCCGGAGGUCGAGGGUUCAAUUCCCUCUCUCGCCA